UCCUCUCGUAUUUCUUCUUGGCACGGCACGGAGAAGCGAGAGAGACUCUUCAGAACUUGUGUAUAAAUUCAUUUGAGCAUGCGCAAAGGUUGCUAAGCAACUGCCUAUUUCCCAGAAUAAGAUUUAAUAAGUAGUUUCCGGUUCGGAUCAAAACCGGCUAUAAAACUGGUAUCAAACCUGAAAUUACUCAUAAUUAUCCAAGUUUUUGGAUUGUUGGCUCCACAAAGAAUAUACACAAGUUCUGCAGAGUCUCUCUCGUGCUGAGAAGAAAUACGAGAGGACUUUGCCCACAGGGUAAGCCUGUUACUGAAGUCAAUAAAAAGUGGACAGUGAUUGGGAUGCACAAAAAUAACAACCAAUCAAAAUGGCGAUUGUUAAUUACGUAUCAGUCAAUUCCAGCAGUGCCCAUCCCCCCCGAGGUAUUAGCCAUUUCUGGGAAGAAAAUGGCUAUGUCCACAAGCCAUUUGCAAUCAAAUUAAAUAUCAGUUUUCCAGCAAAUCUACGAAAUCCCCCAUGAUGGAAAAUGUCAAAAUCCUCACCCCAGGGCUAAAAAAUAUCGGCAAUAGCCCCACCCCC